rfam:Myotis lucifugus cont2.34177, whole genome shotgun sequence.
GAGACACACCUCUGGGGCAAGACUUGCUUCAAUGGGGCUUUGGUGCUCACUGGGUCUGCCCCCUGAGUGUGUCCUU